rnacentral:rRNA from 1 species
CAGUCGCCGCGGUAAUACGUAGGGUGCAAGCGUUAAUCGGAAUUACUGGGCGUAAAGCGUGCGCAGGCGGUUAUAUAAGACAGAUGUGAAAUCCCCGGGCUCAACCUGGGAACUGCAUUUGUGACUGUAUAGCUAGAGUACGGCAGAGGGGGAUGGAAUUCCGCGUGUAGCAGUGAAAUGCGUAGAUAUGCGGAGGAACACCGAUGGCGAAGGCAAUCCCCUGGGCCUGUACUGACGCUCAUGCACGAAAGCGUGGGGAGCAAACAGGAUUAGAUACCCGGGUAGUCCCUGUCUCUUAUAU